UUGACGGGGGCCCGCACAAGCGGCGGAGCAUGUGGAUUAAUUCGAUGCAACGCGAAGAACCUUACCAGCCCUUGACAUACCGGUCGCGGACACAGAGAUGUGUCUUUCAGUUCGGCUGGACCGGAUACAGGUGCUGCAUGGCUGUCGUCAGCUCGUGUCGUGGGAUGUUGGGUUAAGUCCCGCAACGAGCGCAACCCUCGCCCUUAGUUGCCAGCAUUUAGUUGGGCACUCUAAGGGGACUGCCGGUGAUAAGCCGAGAGGAAGGUGGGGAUGACGUCAAGUCCUCAUGGCCCUUACGGGCUGGGCUACACACGUGCUACAAUGGUGGUGACAGUGGGCAGCGAGCACGCGAGUGUGAGCUAAUCUCCAAAAGCCAUCUCAGUUCGGAUUGCACUCUGCAACUCGAGUGCAUGAAGUUGGAAUCGCUAGUAAUCGCGGAUCAGCAUGCCGCGGUGAAUACGUUCCCGGGCCUU
rnacentral:rRNA from 1 species